rnacentral:rRNA from 1 species
UACGGAGGGGACUAGCGUUGUUCGGAAUUACUGGGCGUAAAGCGCACGUAGGCGGCUUUGUAAGUCAGGGGUGAAAUCCUGGGGCUCAACCUCGGAACUGCCUUUGAUACUGCAAGUCUUGAGUUCGAGAGAGGUGGGUGGAAUUCCUAGUGUAGAGGUGAAAUUCGUAGAUAUUAGGAAGAACACCAGUGGCGAAGGCGGCCCACUGGCUCGAUACUGACGCUGAGGUGCGAAAGCGUGGGGAGCAAACAGG